CCAGGCUGGAGUGCAGUGGCGCGAUCUCAGCUCACUGCAAGCUCCGCCUCCUGGGUUCACGCCAUUCUCCUGCCUCAGCCUCCCGAGUAGCUGGGACUACAGGCGCCCGCCACCACGCCCAGAAAUUCUAGGGGCUAAUUUUAAAGCAAAUCAGACAGAGACUCAACUGCAGAAUCCUCCCGCUUAGGGGAGUUAUGAACAAUGAAUUCACCACCACCAGGCCAAAGUCAAGAUGAGCCAACCAGACCUCCAGAUGGGCAAUUCCUCAAGAUGACCAUCAGGAAAAGGCACACAGAUCUGUACCCUCCUGCAUCACUCAUCCAUGUUUCUCAUACCAAGUUUUCCUUCAUUCAGCCCAAACAGCAGAGAUGAUUCCUUUGAGGCUUGUACCCGAUCAUUCUCCCGUCUGCUAGCAUUUGAAUAAAAGCUGCUUUCUUUUUACCACA